rnacentral:rRNA from 1 species
AUUGAACGCUGGCGGCAUGCCUCACACAUGCAAGUCGAUCGGCAGCAGAGAUUCUCUCUGGUGGCGAGUGGCGGACGGGUGAGUAAUGUCUGGGAACCUGCCUGGUAGCGGGGGAUAACUACGCGAAAGGGUAGCUAAUACCGCAUACGUCCUCCGGGGGAAAGCAGGGGACCUCAGGGCCUUGCACUAUCAGAUCGGCCCAGAUCGGAUUAGCUAGUUGGUGGGGUAACGGCUCACCAAGGCGACGAUCCGUAGCUGGUCUGAGAGGACGACCAGCCACACUGGGACUGAGACACGGUCCAGACUCCUACGGGAGGCAGCAGUGGGGAAUAUUGGACAAUGGGGGCAAGCCUGAUCCAGCCAUCCCGCGUGUACGAAGAAGGCCUUCGGGUUGUAAAGCACUUUCAGCAGGAAAGGAAGGUCAUUGGCUAAUAACCCCGGCAACUGACGUACCGCAGAAUAAGC